rnacentral:rRNA from 1 species
UACGUAGGGUGCGAGCGUUGCCCGGAUUUAUUGGGCGUAAAGAGCUCGUAGGCGGUCUGUUGCGUCGGCUGUGAAAACCCGGGGCUCAACUCCGGGCCUGCAGCCGAUACGGGCAGACUAGAGUUCGGCAGGGGAGACUGGAAUUCCUGGUGUAGCGGUGAAAUGCGCAGAUAUCAGGAGGAACACCGGUGGCGAAGGCGGUUCUCUGGGCAUUACCUGACGCUGAGGAGCGAAAGUGUGGGGAGCGAACAGG